CGCAUCUGUGCAUGCAGCAUAUCAAUAAGCGGAGGAAAAGUCAAUACCUACGCUUAGGAUGUUGACGAGACUGUCGAUCUCAUCUAUACAUGACUCUGUGCAUAUCAAUAAGCGGAGGAAAAGAAACUAACAAGGAUUCCCCUAGUAACGGCGAGUGAAGCGGGAAGAGCUCAAAUUUGAAAUCUUAAAGGGUUUCCCUUUACGAAUUGUAGUUUAAAGAAGUGUUUUCUGUUGAGGUUUUGGUAAAAGUUCUUUGGAAGUAGGACAUCAUAGAGGGUGAGAAUCCCGUAUUUGACCUUUACUUUCAACUUUGUGAUACACUUUCAAAGAGUCGGAUUGUUUGGGAAUGCAGUCCAAAAUGGGUGGUAAAUUUCAUCUAAAGCUAAAUAUUGGCGAGAGACCGAUAGCGAACAAGUACCGUGAGGGAAAGAUGAAAAGAACUUUGAAAAGAGAGUUAAACAGUACGUGAAAUUGUCAAAAGGGAAGCGUUUGACACCAGUGUUGUUUUUCUGAAAAUCAAUUAAAGAACUGUUUAUGCUAAGCUGUUUAGACUUUAUCAGCUAACUGUUUAGUUUUGAGCUUUUCUUUAAUGCACUUUUCAGUUAACAAGUCAACAUCAAUUUCUUUUGCUGUAAAAAAGCUUGAGGAAGGUGGCUUGAGAUUCGUCUUAAGUGUUUAUAGCCUCUUGCCUAUGCAGUCGGAGAGAUUGAGGUCUGCAGCGUAGAUCCUUCGGGGCUAAAUGCAUUUGUGCUAAGUUAUAGCAUUUUAUAGACAACUUGUUGACUAUGAUUUGUCUUGUAGCUUACUCGCUUAUGUUAUUUUACCUACGCUUAGGAUGUUGACGAGACUGUCGAUCUC
rnacentral:rRNA from 1 species